UACAGAGGUCUCAAGCGUUGUUCGGAUUCAUUGGGCGUAAAGGGUGCGUAGGCGGUGCGGCAAGUCGGGAGUGAAAUCUCUGGGCUCAACCCAGAGGCUGCUUCCGAAACUGCUGUGCUUGAGUGUGGGAGAGGCGCGUGGAAUUGCAGGUGUAGCGGUGAAAUGCGUAGAUAUCUGCAGGAACACCCGUGGCGAAAGCGGCGCGCUGGACCACUACUGACGCUGAAGAACGAAAGCUAGGGGAGCAAACAGG
rnacentral:rRNA from 1 species